rnacentral:rRNA from 1 species
GGAUGACGUCAAGUCCUCAUGGCCUUUAUGCCCAGGGAUGCAAACGUGCUACAAUGGUAUGGACAAAGCGACGCAAUACCGCGAGGUGGAGCAAAUCGCAAAAACCAUGCCCCAGUUCGGAUAGCAGGCUGCAAUUCGCCUGCUUGAAGCCGGAAUCGCUAGUAAUCGUAGAUCAGCUACGCUACGGUGAAUACGUUCCUGAGCCUUGUACACACCGCCCGUCACGUCAUGGAAGCUGCUAGUGCCCGAAGUCA